CCUCAGGUUAGAAUGAAAAUUAGUAGAUCACUUAAAUGGAAUAGGGGUGCUAGCAUUCGCACCUGGAAACUAGCUAGAGACAUGUUGCUGUUCUGGAAACGAAUAGAUAAGGAGAUGGCCGAAGUGAGAAAAAGAGAGGAGAAAGAAGCGGUUGAAGCUUUGAGACGUGAACAGGAGCUUCGAGAAGCUAAGAGACAGCAACAAAGGCUUACCUUUCUGAUACAACAAACUGAGCUCUACAGUCACUUUAUGAAGAAUAAGUCAGAUUUACUAUCUCCGGAAGUUGCAGGAGCGAGUUUUGACAAUGCUUUUGACAAUGAAUGUUUGAGGCUGCGACAGGUGGGUGAAGCUGAUUCACUUACGCAUGAAGUUGCAGGAGCGAGUAAUAUUGAUUUGCAAACCCCAAGUUGAUUUGUGCAUUGUUGGAAAGUCAAUUAUGGCAAUCGAGAGUCACGUUCGACUGGAGGGAACUAGUUUUA